AUGAAAUUAAAAUUUGUUAUGUGCGUCUUAGAUUAAGAUAAAACUACUUAUUUUUAUAUGCAUAAAUAUGGUUGCUUUUGGUUAAGAAACGGUUUAGAGAAAUGAGUCUUUCACCAAUUUAGGGAAAUAACAUUGGCCAAGAAUGGAAAACCCCACCUCGAGUCCCUAGCAAGCCAAGGGAAGCCCGCGUCCACGUAACUUACGUGGUCGUUCCUAAUUGGUCACUGUCCACUUAAAAUGGAACUGUAACGUGAAACGUUAUCACGUGAAUAUGUUUAGAGUGGUGUGGCGACACUGCCAUGGGAAUAUUUAUCGAUAGUCUAUUGUAUCGAUAUGUCUUGAAUGUUCUUCGAGGACCUUUGUAUCGAUGGUCAUAAAUUAAGAGCGAAAUUCGAACAUCGUCUAUGCAUACCCUUAUAUAAAUAAACAAAGAGUAAAUUGUAAACCCCUCGACGUGGGUGAUAGAGCUGAGAGAAGGCCGGAAGUCCAGAGAAUGGAAUAGUUUCACUUCGAAGAUUCCUAAAAGACUAAUUUAUGAUAGACCAUAUCCAAUUCGUUGUUUUCGACCAAGUCACAAACGGUCCUCAAAAGCUACGAAGUCUUUUCCGAUAUCCUGCCUAUUCAUGCAUUCUAAGAGGGUCGUAAAUUUCCUCGAGAGUUGCCUUUUACCAAGUAUAAGCGUCUUGGCGGAACGCCUCCACUUCCACGCGCUUGAGGGUGGAUCACAGCCAGAAGAAGGGGCCUACACAAGACGAGGUGGACUCCUCCACCAUUAGACGAGGGAUCAUCCUGAGGGAGGAUCCAGGAUCCACCAAGGAAGGGGUAUCGACCGACAUCACGCGAAGAUCUCCUCCGCCAAGCGCAGAAUGAUGAGAUCGAUUUUGUCAACCGAACUCUACUGAUUGUUCUCGCACAGUCGAACGUUUUAAGUACUUUGCUAAUUUUAUACAACUGACAAAUAAAUAGUUGAAUUCAAGCCGAAGUACAACAGCGUACAGUAUCCUAUACCGGUUUUAUUUGCUAAAUCUUUUACAGUAUAUUUCCGCCUUAAUAUCCAGCUUCUUAUAUUCUCUGCUAUUUGGUACCUUAUCGAGAUAGUAGUAUUCUUUGCCAUGUCACUAGCGAUUUUGCAGAAAUAAAUAUUACACAGGUUAAGAUGAAUUUUUCAGCAAAUAUUGACGUCAAACUUCUAGUUAGUAUCUAGAAAUUCUAUCUGUCUACCUUUCACAACUAAGGCAUGUUCCACAUCGCUAAUAUAGGUAUUAGGGCUAUUCAAAGGCUUGCAAGCAUCUAUUAAAAUUCUUAAAUCUUCAUCAUUUAGGUAACUCAAUACUUUUUCAGUACAAUAAGUUGGUAAUUCAAGAAGGCUUUUGCAGAGAGAAUGGAAAAACAUAUUGCAUUGUUCCAGUAACUUUUUUUUUUCUAUGCCUCUCCUAAAUCGACCAUUUAUUA